UACAGAGGGGGCAAGCGUUGUUCGGAAUUACUGGGCGUAAAGGGCGCGUAGGCGGCUUUUCAAGUCGGGCGUGAAAUCUCCGGGCUUAACCCGGAAGGGUCGUUCGAUACUGUUGAGCUAGAGUGUGGAAGAGGCAACUAGAAUUCCGUGUGUAGCGGUGAAAUGCGUAGAUAUACGGAGGAAUACCUGAGGCGAAGGCGGGUUGCUAGGCUGACACUGACGCUGAGGCGCGAAAGCUAGGGUAGCAAACGGG
rnacentral:rRNA from 1 species